rnacentral:rRNA from 1 species
AUUGAACGCUGGCGGAAUGCUUUACACAUGCAAGUCGAGCGGCAGCGCGGUCUUCGGACUGGCGGCGAGCGGCGAACGGGUGAGUAAUACAUCGGAACAUGCCCAGUCGUGGGGGAUAACACUUCGAAAGAAGUGCUAAUACCGCAUACGUCCUGAGGGAGAAAGCGGGGGAUCGCAAGACCUCGCGCGAUUGGAGUGGCCGAUGUCAGAUUAGCUAGUUGGUGGGGUAAAGGCCUACCAAGGCAACGAUCUGUAGCUGGUCUGAGAGGAUGAUCAGCCACACUGGGACUGAGACACGGCCCAGACUCCUACGGGAGGCAGCAGUGGGGAAUUUUGGACAAUGGGGGCAACCCUGAUCCAGCCAUUCCGCGUGAGUGAAGAAGGCCUUCGGGUUGUAAAGCUCUUUCGGCAGGAACGAAACGGUGAGCUCUAACAUAGCUCGCUAAUGACGGUA